CGGAACACGUACGCAACCUUCCUUUAACUGGAGAAUAGCCCCUCGAAAGAGAGAUUAAUCCCCCAUAACAAUGCGAAAUGGCAUCAUUUUGCAUUUAAAGCUCCGGCGGUAUUUGAUGGGCAUGCGUCCUAUUAGCUAGUUGGUGAGGUAACUGCUCACCAAGGCUACGAUAGGUAGGGGGUCUGAGAGGAUGAUCCCCCACACUGGUACUGAAACACGGACCAG
rnacentral:rRNA from 1 species